rnacentral:rRNA from 1 species
UACGUAGGGAGCAAGCGUUGUCCGGAAUUACUGGGUGCAAAGGGAGCGUAGGCGGGAUGGCAAGUAGAAUGUUAAAUCCAUCGGCUCAACCGGUGGCUGCGUUCUAAACUGCCGUUCUUGAGUGAAGUAGAGGCAGGCGGAAUUCCUAGUGUAGCGGUGAAAUGCGUAGAUAUUAGGAGGAACACCAGUGGCGAAGGCGGCCUGCUGGGCUUUAACUGACGCUGAGGCUCGAAAGCGUGGGGAGCAAACAGG